rnacentral:tRNA from 1 species
GCCGUCGUAGCUCAGUCGGUAGAGCAACACCAUGGUAAGGUGUAGGUCGUCAGUUCGAUUCUGAUCGUCGGCUCCA